UGCGGAAGAGAUAAGUGCUGAAAGCAUCUAAGCACGAAACUUGCCCCGAGAUGAGUUCUCCCUGAGACUUUAAGUCUCCUGAAGGAACGUUAAAGACGAUGACGUUGAUAGGCCGGGUGUGUAAGCGUAGCGAUGCGUUGAGCUAACCGGUACUAAUGAACCGUGAGGCUUAACCUUACAACGCCGAAG
rnacentral:rRNA from 1 species